rnacentral:rRNA from 1 species
UACGAAGGGGGCUAGCGUUGUUCGGAAUUACUGGGCGUAAAGCGCGCGCAGGCGGCUAUCCAAGUCAGUGGUGAAAGCCCGGAGCUCAACUCCGGAAAUGCCAUUGAAACUGUAAAACUUGAGGACGAGAGAGGUGAGUGGAAUUCCCAGUGUAGAGGUGAAAUUCGUAGAUAUUGGGAAGAACACCGGUGGCGAAGGCGGCUCACUGGCUCGUUUCUGACGCUCAGGCGCGAUAGCGUGGGGAUCAAACAGG